CCUACGGGUGGCAGCAGUGAGGAAUAUUGGUCAAUGGACGGAAGUCUGAACCAGCCAUGCCGCGUGCAGGAAGACGGCUCUAUGAGUUGUAAACUGCUUUUGUACAAGGGUAAACCUGAAUACGUGUAUUCAGCUGAAAGUACUGUACGAAUAAGGAUAGGCUAACUCCGUGCCAGCAGCCGCGGUAAUACGGAGGAUCCAAGCGUUAUCCGGAUUUAUUGGGUUUAAAGGGUGCGUAGGCGGAUUGAUAAGUUAGAGGUGAAAUGUCCGAGCUUAACUCGGGAACUGCCUCUAAUACUGUUGAUCUAGAGAGUAGAUGCGGUAGGCGGAAUGUAUGGUGUAGCUGUGAAAUGCUUAGAGAUCAUACAGAACACCGAUUGCGAAGGCAGCUUACCAAUCUAUAUCUGACGUUGAGGCACGAAAGCGUGGUGAGCAAACAGGAUUAGAUACCCGAGUAGUC
rnacentral:rRNA from 1 species